ACUAUAGUUGUGUACCUGCAGUAAACAUGGACGGAUAAUCAUUAGUAUGUUUUUGGUGGUCACUUGAGAAUUAUCAGGCUGCCCAUAAAGAACCCUACUAACACUG
rfam:Solanum lycopersicum cultivar Heinz 1706 chromosome 12, whole genome shotgun sequence.